rnacentral:misc_RNA from 1 species
UUAACGUCAGCAGAUGAUUCAUGAAAAGGGCUCGCAUCAGUUGACACGCAAAUAAUACCAACAAACGUACCAUCGUCAUCAUAAAGUGGGGUAUCUGUUGCCACAACUAAAAACCUAUCCCCCUGCUUAUUCUUCACAGGAAAUUGUCCAGUCCAAUUCUCACCCAUUUGCACUCUGUGUAUAAUGAUUUUAGCCACAGCAUGAUCCUUCGAAUCUGUUAUCAGCUCAAGAAGAUCCUGCCCAAUAGCUUCAGAAGCUGAAUAACCAUAUAAUAGCUCAGCACUUCGAUUCCAGUAAAUUAAUCGAUAAUUGAGAUCAAAUAUAUGCACAGCUUGGCCCAUUGAUUGCAAUAUGCUCAAA